rnacentral:rRNA from 1 species
AUUGAACGCUGGCGGCAUGCCUAACACAUGCAAGUCGAACGGAUGCACGGGUGUUUCUACUGGAUUCAGCGGCGCGCGGGUGAGUGAUGCCUAUGAGUCUGCGUGGUGGUGGGGGGUAACGUCCGGCGACAGGCGCUAUUACAGCAUACGUGCUGUAGGGGAAAAUGGGGGGUCUUCGGACCCCUCGCGAUCAGGUGAUGCGAGGUCGGAUUAGCUAGUUGGUGGGGUAAAGGCCUACCAAGGCGACGAUCCGUAGCUGGUCUGAGAGGAUGAUCAGUCACACUGGAACUGAGACACGGUCCAGACUCCUACGGGAGGCAGCAGUGGGGAAUAUUGGACAAUGGGCGAAAGCCUGAUCCAGCCAUGCCGCGUGUGUGAAGAAGGUCUUCGGAUUGUAAAGCACUUUUAGCUGGGAGGAAGGGCAGUAAGUUAAUACGUUGCUGUUUUGACGUUACCAGCAGAAUAAGCACCGGCUAACUACGUG